UUGAACAAAAUCAAAAUUAGCGAUAUACCACUGUUAAUGGUAAUUAGAGACUUCCUCUGUUUAAA
rnacentral:tRNA from 1 species